CCAGAAGAUUGGAAGUUAGCGAAUGUUGUGCCCAUUCACAAGAAAGGUAAUAGGGAGGAGUCGGGCAACUAUAGGCCAGUAAGCCUUACUUCAGUAGUGGGGAAGUGAUGGAAACCAUGUUAAAGGAUAGGAUUGUUGAACAUCUAAAAACACAUGGAUUUCAAGAUCAGAGACAACAUGGGUUUACUUCAAGGAGAUCAUGC